rnacentral:rRNA from 1 species
UACGGAGGGGGCGAGUGUUGUUCGGAAUUACUGGGCGUAAAGGGCGCGCAGGCGGCCUGGCAAGUCGAGUGUGAAAUCCCUUGGCUUAACUGAGGAAUGGCGCUCGAAACUACCUGGCUGGAGGGCGGGAGAGGGAAGUGGAACUCUCGGUGUAGGGGUGAAAUCUGUAGAUAUCGAGAGGAACACCGGUGGCGAAGGCGGCUUC